AGAGUUUGAUCCUGGCUCAGGAUGAACGCUAGCUACAGGCUUAACACAUGCAAGUCGAGGGGAAACGACAUCGAAAGCUUGCUUUUGAUGGGCGUCGACCGGCGCACGGGUGAGUCACGCGUAUCCAACCUGCCCACCACUUGGGGAUAACCUUGCGAAAGUAAGACUAAUACCCAAUGAUAUCUCUAGAAGACAUCUGAAAGAGAUUAAAGAUUUAUCGGUGAUGGAUGGGGAUGCGUCUGAUUAGCUUGUUGGCGGGGUAACGGCCCACCAAGGCGACGAUCGAGUAGGGGUUCUGAGAGGAACGGUCCCCCACAUUGGAACUGAGACGACGGUCCAAACCUCCGUACGGGAGGCA
rnacentral:rRNA from 1 species